UACGGAGGGUGCGAGCGUUAAUCGGAAUAACUGGGCGUAAAGCGCACGCAGGCGGUCUGUUAAGUGAGGUGUGAAAUCCCCGGGCUUAACCUGGGAAUAGCAUUUCAGACUGGGAAGCUAGAGUACUGUAGGGGGGGGUAGAAUUCCACGUGUAGCGGUGAAAUGCGUAGAGAUGUGGAGGAAUACCGAAGGCGAAGGCGGCCCCUUGGAAAAGGACUGACGCUCAUGUGCGAAAGCGUGGGGAGCAAACAGG
rnacentral:rRNA from 1 species